rnacentral:lncRNA from 1 species
AUCCUAUUGAGGCUUCAAAACCUCAUUACUAGUAAGCAUGUAAGAAAUAAGAACUUGAAAGGACCAAAUAAGCUCUGAUCAUCACAGAGUUUAUAACAUACUCUGUGAUGAGAUUGCAUAUGAGGAUACUAAUACGGUAGAAUAGUAAUAUGAGGAAACCAUGAAGGUGAUCUCCUUUCUUCAAAUUUGUGAGGAACUUACUAUGUAAUUUAUUGUCUUCGCCCCAAUUUUUCUCAAUAAGUCUUCAAAGUUCAUGCUUUAUUCUUUCUUUGAUUGGGUUUUGUAAGAGUUGUUUGAGUGACCUGUUUUUGUUUUGCGGUUUUCAUUGAGAGCCUUCUUAUAUUUGCGUCUUCAAACAUCCUGCCGUCCCAGCUUCUAUCCCUAUGACACCACUUCUUACUUGUUUUACUGUGCAUUGGUGACAAGUCACCAUUUCGUGAAGCAUCUUUCCUGCAUUUCGUUAAGAUAUCCUUUUCCUCCCCUUCGUCAUAUAUAUGACUUCCUU